rnacentral:rRNA from 1 species
UGGGGAAUUUUGGACAAUGGGCGCAAGCCUGAUCCAGCCAUUCCGCGUGCAGGACGAAGGCCUUCGGGUUGUAAACUGCUUUUGUACGGAACGAAAAGGCUCUGGCUAAUACCUGGGGCUCAUGACGGUACCGUAAGAAUAAGCACCGGCUAACUACGUGCCAGCAGCCGCGGUAAUACGUAGGGUGCAAGCGUUAAUCGGAAUUACUGGGCGUAAAGCGUGCGCAGGCGGUUAUGUAAGACAGAGGUGAAAUCCCCGGGCUCAACCUGGGAACUGCCGUUGUGACUGCAUAGCUGGAGUACGGCAGAGGGGGAUGGAAUUCCGCGUGUAGCAGUGAAAUGCGUAGAUAUGCGGAGGAACACCGAUGGCGAAGGCAAUCCCCUGGGCCUGUACUGACGCUCAUGCACGGAAGCGUGGGGAGCAAACA